UUGACCUCGAAUCAGGUGGGACUACCCGCUGAACUUAAGCAUAUCAAUAAGCGGAGGAAAAGAAACUAACAAGGAUUCCCCUAGUAACGGCGAGUGAAGCGGGAAGAGCUCAAAUUUAAAAUCUGGCAAUCUUUGGUUGUCCGAAUUGUAAUCUAGAGAAGCGUUUUCCGUGCUGGACUGUGUACAAGUUUCCUGGAUACGGAACAUCAUAGAGGGUGAGAAUCCCGUCCUUGACACAGACCCCCAGUACUUUGUGAUGCGCUCUCGACGAGUCGAGUUGUCUGGGAUUGCAGCUCAAAAUGGGAGGU
rnacentral:rRNA from 1 species